rnacentral:rRNA from 1 species
GACUGCUAUCGGAUUGAUACUAAGCCAUGCGAGUCUUUGCAGUAAUGCAAGGCGGACUGCUCAGUAACACGUAGUCAACUUAACCUAUGGAUGGGUAUAACCUCGGGAAACUGAGAAUAAUUCCCAAUAGAUCAUUUAUCCUGGAAUGGUUAGUGAUUGAAAUGAUUCGUCGCCAUAGGAUAGGACUGCGGCCUAUCAGCUUGUUGGUGAGGUAAAGGCCCACCAAGGCUAUUACAGGUACGGGCUCUGAGAGAAGAAGCCCGGAGAUGGGUACUGAGACACGGACCCAGGCCCUAUGGGGCGCAGCAGGCGAGAAAACUUUGCAAUGUGCGAAAGCACGACAAGGUUAAUCCGAGUGAUUUCUGCUAAAGAAAUCUUUUGCCAGUUCUAAAAAUACUGGUGAAUAAGGGGUGGGCAAGUUCUGGUGCCAGCAGCCGCGGUAAU